rnacentral:rRNA from 1 species
UAGGGAAUCUUCCGCAAUGGGCGAAAGCCUGACGGAGCAACGCCGCGUGAGUGAUGAAGGUCUUCGGAUCGUAAAACUCUGUUAUUAGGGAAGAACAAAUGUGUAAGUAACUAUGCACGUCUUGACGGUACCUAAUCAGAAAGCCACGGCUAACUACGUGCCAGCAGCCGCGGUAAUACGUAGGUGGCAAGCGUUAUCCGGAAUUAUUGGGCGUAAAGCGCGCGUAGGCGGUUUUUUAAGUCUGAUGUGAAAGCCCACGGCUCAACCGUGGAGGGUCAUUGGAAACUGGAAAACUUGAGUGCAGAAGAGGAAAGUGGAAUUCCAUGUGUAGCGGUGAAAUGCGCACAGAUAUGGAGGAACACCAGUGGCGAAGGCGACUUUCUGGUCUGUAACUGACGCUGAUGUGCGAAAGCGUGGGGAUCAAACAGG